AAAGUCGUAACAAGGUUUCCGUAGGUGAACCUGCGGAAGGAUCAUUACCAAUUUAAUCCAUUAAAUUUCAACCCAUGUGCACGAUGAUUGUUUGUCCUUUGGGGUGGUUGAAUGUUUGUUGUUGUUUACAAUAUUCAGACAUAAGCUACCCCGCCAUUGUUAACCAAAAUCCUUUUUUGAUUAUGGCAUCUGUCUUAUUUUAAUUAAUAAAUGACAACUUUUAACGGUGGAUCUCUUGGCUCGU
rnacentral:misc_RNA from 1 species